UGGUCAAAAUGUAACCGCUGCACAUUUCACGCCAGUGGAACAAAUCCCAGCUGCGCUCUUAUCCGCUGACUGCACGGCGUGCAUGUGCAAAGAUUUAUAGGAUCCAUUGGGGGUGUUUUCCUUCACGCAUGCGUGCUCGGUGUUUUGGGACAACAAGGAGGACAAACGGAGUCAGGGCAGCGUCACCAUGGGCAUGCCCAGCGUGGACUCGGGGCGCUGGGGUCGUGAUGCAGGAGGUCUGGGCUGCGACUGCUGGAAGUUGUUAAUCACACAUGUCACCUGGAGGAAGAAGCACAGAGGAGUUGCAAGGGGAGAAGGAGGAAAGAUCAGAGGAGGAGUAGAAGAACCAGCAGCAGAUCCUGACGCGCAAAAACAACCGAGAGCGAGCCGAAGACAGCGACUAAGAUGCGGCCGACUGAAAGCGAGCGAGGAUCGAGCAGGAGAGGAGCAGCUGAAAAGCGAUCCGACCAAAAGACUAAG